GGUGAGUAACACGUGGAUAACCUACCUAUAAGACUGGGAUAACUUCGGGAAACCGGAGCUAAUACCGGAUAAUAUUUUGAACCGCAUGGUUCAAAAGUGAAAGACUGUCUUGCUGUCACUUAUAGAUGGAUCCGCGCUGCAUUAGCUAGUUGGUAAGGUAACGGCUUACCAAGGCAACGAUGCAUAGCCGACCUGAGAGGGUGAUCGGCCACACUGGAACUGAGACACGGUCCAG
rnacentral:rRNA from 1 species